rnacentral:piRNA from 1 species
GUCAGAGAAGAAGAUUAAUGGUCCUA